rnacentral:lncRNA from 1 species
AUACAAGUUUUAUUGUAAGGAAAUCUAUCUUUAAUAAUUUUUAUUGAAAUAAAGUAUUUUAUAAAUAUGUCUACUUGGUAACAUAGUUUGAACUCCCCUCUUUUGAGAGAAAGAUAAUUGAGAUAAUAAGAAUGAGUUUUGUUUCCACUUGCUUCUCUUUCUAUUCACUUGUAAUUUUUUAGCCACAAUGAGUUUGAAUGAACCCGUCACUGUACCAAACACUUGACAUAAAUUAUCUUGUUGAGUCUUCACAAGUACUGUUACCCCAUUUCACAUAUAAGGAAAGGGAGACUUAGAAACAUUAAAUAAUAACACCCAGGUACAAAGUGAGAGUUCUCUGUGAUUCCACGGCACUUUUGAAAAUUAUGCAUGUUGCUUCCCAAACAUAUUGAGUUUACUGUUGCUGUCACUAAUGGGGGGCACGCAAGUCUUUGUAAUAAAGUCAAUGAAACUGAGUGUUUGCAUGCUCCCUGUUUUUCAUCCCAUAUACAUCUUCCUGAAUUUAUAAAGACAUAUGACAAAAAUCAGCCCAAUUCAAUACAGCUAAACCUCAUGGAAAAAUUACAAGAAUCAAAUGGAAUUUAAUGUCCAAAAGAACUUAAGAAAUCAACCAAAGUCUUAGGCUCUGGACUAGAAGAAACAAGACUGAGAGAUAAUGGUUGUACCCAUGAGCCAAGGGAGACCCAAGCCAUGUAAUCCAAUUUCUGGACAUUAAUUCCAUAUAUUUUCAGAAAGUACCUGACAUGAUCCUGUGCUCUAUGGCUGCUGUUAAAGUAAGUAAUUACCUCAGGGACAAAUAAGGAAUCUGAAGCAUAAAUAUGCUCAAGGCCCAAAGUUAGUAUGGAUUGGAGCAAGGGUAACUUAAGCUCUGGACAUAUACAAUACAAUAGUCUGUAUAGAAACUGUAGUUCUCAGGCGGCCCAGGUGGCUCAGUGGUUUUGCGCCGCCUUCAGCCAAGGGUGUGAUCCUGGAGACCUGAGAUCGAGUCCCACAUCGGGCUUCCUGCAUGGAGCCUGCUUCUCCCUCUGCCUGUGUCUCUACGCUUCUCUGUGUUUGUGUCUCGUAAAUAAAUAAAAUCUUUAAAAAACAAAAAGAAAAAGAAAAACUGCAGUUCUCUAUCAGAGGUGAUUGACCUCCAUUACAUAGCAACUUGUUCUUGCUUAUUCCACAUACACUUUUGGAGUGCACUGUAUUCCAACUAAUGAUAGCCAAUAUGUAAAACAGUUAACAACAGAAAGAGCUGGGGGGCAAACUAUCAAACAGACACCAGCCCAAAGAGAAAAGAAACUGGCCACAGACCACAGGAAUGCCAGUAUUGAUUUAUACCUGCCAAACAACUGCCCUGAAACCAAUUAAACCCUUCAGUCAAGAACUAGAAGAGAAAGUAUUUGUUUCCCCUAGCAUCCGAAUGUCUCAACUUCUGCAUUUAUUAAACAAGGAAAGGCAGGAUAAAAAGGAAAAUAAUGCUAAUAUGGACUCCCAGUGAGUGAGCUGCUUUGAGACUAUUUUAACUAUCAUCAGCAGAAAGUGUACAGAAGGAAAGAAACAACAUGACCUAUCUGAAGAUGAUGCAUGUCUCUUAAUUACAACUAGAUUACAAAAUUGAGAAUGGUAUUGGCUGUAAAAAAGUAACUGUGUGACAGCUGGUAGACUAUCACAUCUGCAUUGCAAAACCAUUAAUACGUUCUUCGAUUUGGAAGAUCCUAGAUCCAUAGAUCCUAUGGUUGGUCAUAUAGUAAAAUGAAACAAAACUAUGCCAUUUCACACUAUACACUUUUUAAUAGAAAGUUAUUAUCUUGAUUUUUAAAAUGUUUUAAUUUUCUAAUGAUUUCCUGAAUACUCCAUUCUAGGGCACAUUAGAUACUCUUGAAUUAAUUUUCGGCAAUAAUCACACAUAUACAUGUUCAGAAGAUCCAAUAGGAAAUAUGCUAGCUACACUACAAAGAAGUUUAUUGUUUCUCCACUCAGCAGCGCUGGUCAGUGGUCCCAUCCAUCAUGCGACAGAGGACCUGGUAUGGUUCUGUGCUACCUUAUGGCACUCUCCCUUACCCCAAUUUUUCCAGGAAAAAAAAGAGAAAAGAAUAGGGGGAAAUGGAAAAACCCUUGUCAGGCUUGUAUUGAUAAUGGUUGUACACAGAGUUACGUGGAAUUUGGGAUGCUAAUUACCUUUAAAUAGAUGACUCGUACAUAUAAUUCUGAUCUUAAUACUCACAUAGUCUGGUUUCUUCAUAUAAAGUUGGCAAUGUGUCACCCUGUGCUUGCAAAUGAGGUUUGUCUCAAAUAUACGUGGUGCUCAAUGCCAUUUAUUCAAUGCUCCCUUGAAUCUGAGACACUGCCAACUGCUUUCCAUGCCUGCACUUCUGACAAUCUCCAUAUGUGUCAAGCUUCACUAUCUCUAUUUCAGGUAAAAGAAACUAAUGACCAUAAAGUGUAACUUAUUAACAAAGAGAAUUGGCAGAGACAGGUUUCCAAAGUAAGUCAGUCUGUUUCAAUUCUGAGUUCUUAAUAACUACCACCUCUACUGCCUUCUUCUUUAUGGGAAUAUCAUUUCUAGAAGAGAACUACUUAUUCCUGUAGCAAAUAACCAAGACAAUACAAUGUGAACCUCUAAAUGAUACGUGUCAUAUUUUAGAUAUAAGAUAUGGCACAGUGAAUAAUGAAUGUCCUGUUUGAUACUGCUGAUGGAAACCAAAAAAAAAAAAAUGUACUUCUGGUUUUUACAUGUGAAAAAUUCAUCUUGACUAGCAAACUGUCAAAAUGUUUUACUUUGACUUUAUGUCUAUCCAUACUUUGGGUACGUCUCAUGAUGAUGACAUUUUGUUGUAAGACGAGUCUUCAAGAUAUCUCUUUGUAUGUCUUUCUGCAAGUUGGCUCAGAGCUUUGAGAUUGUCUGUAAAAUAUAUUUAAAAAAAGUAUGUUCUUAAAAUCAUUUGCAUAGUUCUCUCAGCCCUCCUUGUGGGUAUAGACAUAUCCUAAUUUCAUAAUAAAGCUUCCAAGUCAGAUAAAUGUAUGGUCAUCAAAUAAUCAUGAAAACAAAAAUGUCCGUAAAAACUGUCAUGGGUAAACAAGAGAUUUUUUUUUUUUUUUAAGAAAAUGUAUGUUUUAUUUAUUCUUAUAAAGUGCAUAUUGUGGCAUUUGAGCAAGGCUAAUUCUACAUAUCCAGAAUUCUACAAAUCAUUCUGAGGCUUUUAAAAAAAUCAUCCAGCCAUAGAGGAUUGACUAAGCAGCUAUUGUUUGAGCUGCUGCUGUUCAGGGAAGCCUGACCCCAGAAGGAGCCUGAUAUCAUGGCAGAGUCCCAUGUGCUCUGUUCACAUUUUACCUAAAAUCAUGUCCUGAACACCUGCCAAAGGCUGGGCGCUGUACUCAGCACUGGACAUUACACAACAAUUGACAGAGUAUGUCCUCUGUCUCCAAGGGGCUCCGAGCAUAGGCAUGUAACAGAUCCAUGAAAAACCACAACAUACAGAUGCCAUAAAUACAAGUAUUUUAAAGUUCUAUUAACUGCACACAGAGGGGUCAGAUAAUUGACAGAUGUGAUUUGAGAGGCUUCCUAAAGGUGGGGACACUUGGGUGUAUCUUGAGGAAGGAACAGGUCACUAAACUAAAGAGAAAGUGAAUGACAUAGGAUAAAAGAUGAACAAAAUUACAGCAGUCUGAAGGAGCUUGAGGUCUCUUGGAGAGAUAGACUCUGUUCCUAGCCAGUCUGUCUAGUCUAGAGCAGGUAAUGAAUGAGGAAGACAUACUGGGAAGGAAUGUCAGAGAGCAACGUAUAUAUGACCUAUGUGUCGUACAAAGAGUUUGAAUUAUCUCUUCACGUCAUGGUAAUGGAAAAUUUGAAACCAAGACAGUGUCACAAUCAGGCUUUCUUUAUAGAUUAUUAUCCUUUGUCCCACGGUGUGUAGGAAAGGUGGAAGUGGACUAGAGACGACAGGAAGGGUUUUCACCAUGUCAGAGUUCAGAAACUGAGAAAAGAAAACACAUUUGAGAAAUCUUACAAGUCUUGGAAGUAGAAACACUACCUGAUUAUGUAAAUGUAGGAGUGUGAGCCAGCUCAAAGAAGGCAAAGAAGCAGGAAAAGCCUUGCCCAUGUGUUAAAUGCCAGUAACUUCCAGGAAAGAUUUUCAAUGAUGCAAAGUUUACCAUCCUGGAAAAUAGCCUCAUUCAGUACCAAAACUUAGCAGGCCUCAGCAAAUAUUUGUGGAAUAAGAACAAAAUGAAACUAAAAGAGGUUCUUACUGCCCAAAUCAGCGGACUCUCAACCAGCACGAUUUUAUAUUUGAUUAGGAAUACAUUGGCCCAAUAUGGAAGUUGAUGAUGUCACUGAGAUGAUAAGAAUCUCCUCAAGGAAAUAAUUUAUUUUUCAUUUAGUUUAGACUUCAUACCAAGAAAAUGGACAAAUGGGCUCAUCAGUUGGAGUGUGCACUAAAAAGGCAUCUGUUUUAGAGUGUACCAAUUCUUUAUCUGUAACUGUCAGUAUAACUGCUGAAAAUAAAGCUCCUAUAAUAUCCUCUAAAGCACACAUUUUCUAUUUGUGCUAUGAAAAAAAAAUAAAAAGCAUAAAUUCAGAAGCCCGUUUGCUAAGGCCCUAAUAGAUUCUGACAUAUGAGCAUCUUCAACAGGAUCUACAAAAUACUUCGAGCAACCUUUCAAGUAUGAAACAAAUUCAUUACUAAAAAUAAUCUGACUCAAGUCCUUUUAAUAGUCCUUUCAGCUCACCCUGUGGGUUUACACAUAUCUUGAUUCCAUCUGAAGCUUUCAAAUCAGAUAAAUGUGCAGCCACCCGAUAAUAACAAACACAGAAUUUCUAUUAAAAAAAUAAGGAUGGGUAACCAAGAGAUUUAAAAGUAUUUUGGGGAUUUUUAGAAUGUUCCCUUAUCGCGAACAAUAAUCAGUAUAUUACAUCCAUUGAGCGAAGUUGUGAUAUCUCCAUCAUCACAAAUUUUAACCAGUGAUAAAGAAGUUGUCCUGAAGGCUAGUUAGUCUUAAAGCUAGUCAAUUUAUUAAGAGACAAGAAAUAGUUAAGCGUCUUAAGAGUCAUGUUUAGGGUUAAUUCCCUGUAAUUACUCUUGUCAUUUACAGGUUUUGUGACCAUGGACCAAUCACCAUACUUCUUGGGAAGCAGAGUUUUACAAUCUGAAAAAUAAAGAUAAAGUACCUUAUAUGGUUAAAGACAAAAUGUGACCACGUGUAUUAAAGCAUCCUAAAUAUGGUCUUACAUAGGUGCUCAAUAAUUGUCAGGUGCUAUUUAUUAUUGUUUUUGAUUUAUAUUCAAGUCCAAAUGGAAAUUUAAGGUUGCAUGUCUAAUUACCAAACACAAUUCCUAAAUGUUCAAGUACGUAGUAUAUGUUUGAAACUUUUAAUUCAAAUUUAAUCCUAAUUUUAUCAAUGCACUAUCACUUUGUGUCAUCUAUUAAACAUCAAGAUCAUCUAAUAUAUACAACAAAUGCAUCAUCAAAUUUACCAUGAAGUACAUAUGUUUCUUUUUUCUUUUGUUACUCCGCUGAGUUUGAGAGAAUGUAAAGUCAUUACAUGGUCUCUGAGACUCUGGAAUGUGUUAGAAAAUGAGUUUAUCGAAACUUUGAGCUCCUUAGCAGGAGAGUCAUAGUUUUCUCCGAAUUCCCAGAAGAACCUAACAUAGUACUCUAUAGAAAAUACAUGUAGAAAAUACUUUGGGUGGAUAGAUUUCUUUAGGAACAUAGGGAAGUAGAAGAUAUGCUUAAUUUGCCUAAGACUGUAUUUUAUUCUUCUCUGAAACUUCUGAACUCAGCCAAGAGCCUGGAACAAAGUAGAAGGAUUUCAAUAAACUUUUUUUUUUCUUUUAAUGAAUUGUAUUCCUUGAAUAAGGGUCUGGUCUUCACAGAGUAAGGUCUGUAAUUCUUGGUAAAAGUAACUAAGAGUUGCCAAGACAUUUCUCGACGUAAAAUCACCCAAAUGUAAUAUGAAUCACCUGUUACCAUUGCUUUGCAUCUUAAUUUUCCAACAGAGAGUCUAUAAAUAAUUAACACUAGUUAACUGAAGUGUGAUUUUAUUUCCUGAUUUAAUCUAUGUCAAGUACAUUAUUAGUGAGAGUUAAAGAGGGGCUCUGGCAAACCUUGAGAUAAAUCUGAGUUGCACUGGAGCAUAUGAAUAGAUAACAUUUUCCAUGAGUGCUCAUUGGAAGUAUGGGUGGAUGAGCUAUAAACAAAUCAUAAGUAGAAACGUACCAUAAAAAUUCUAAAGGAAAAGUGACAUUUAAAACCAAUAGCGCAUGUUAUGAAAUAGGGGCAAAGACUAUUCCGAUUGGAUAACUACAUUGGUAUUUAUCUCUAUGCCAAAUAACACAGCUUUCACAAAUACAAAACAACAUGCUUAAUGUGUGUGUGUAUACUAAAAAGAUAUUCAUAGGAACACACAAGCUAGUGGAGAAAUAGAAAAGAACAAGAAGAUGUCAUGUAAACCCCUCUCACAAAAAGGGUCCAACGGCCUUAAAAAAAUACAAGUUGUCUUCAAAGUAGGAGAAAAGGAAAAAUCCUACUACUUCCUUCACCCCUGCCACCCUCUUACAUCAUCAGGAAUCAUCCCACAUUUCUUUUUAACAUUAACAACGCAAGUAUUGGCUGUAACCCAAUGAACUUAAACACAGUGUGGUUUUCUUUUAAAAUAAGCCUUUACUGAAUAUAUCAACAAGGUACUGUAUAGUGUAGAGUGAAGUUUGUAGUUAACAAAGUGUGCGACAUGGUAGGUCUCAGAGGAUGUGUAAUGCAGAAUCUUCCAGCCCCUCGCAGUCCCUUGUAGUGAGGACACACUAAACAUAAACCAGAAGCAAAUCAACAUAUGGUUCGAACAAUAACAACUCAUCGGGAUUAACUUUCAGUGAAUAUAUACUGGUCCUAUGAGGGACAGACAGUGGAGACACCUUCACCUUGCCUCAAAAAGGUCAUAAAUUUUACAUCCCAUGGUUAUCUUUAUAAAUACCUCGGUGUGUAUUUGUGUGUGUGUGCAAGCAUGUAGUAAAUUUUUACUAGUUUAAAAAUUCCUGUUGCGAUGGCCUUUGUGCUCUUCUGAUAGAUGUGCACUAGAAGAAGAAAAAAAUGAAAACUAUAGCACAAGAAUCCGAUUAGUUUGUUAUAACAGCAGUAUCAUGCAUGUAUAAAUCUUUCUCCCCACAAUCUGUGACAAGCAUCCCUUGUUGCCAGCAAUUGUCUUUUGUCUUUUGACCUUGCUGAAGAAAUCAGAGAAGGAUGUAAACUAUAGCUUUCUUCAUUUGUAUUUUGGCAAAAAAAAAAAAAAAAA